UACGUAGGGUGCAAGCGUUAAUCGGAAUUACUGGGCGUAAAGCGUGCGCAGGCGGUUGUGCAAGACAGGUGUGAAAUCCCCGGGCUUAACCUGGGAACUGCACUUGUGACUGCACGGCUGGAGUACGGCAGAGGGGGAUGGAAUUCCGCGUGUAGCAGUGAAAUGCGUAGAUAUGCGGAGGAACACCGAUGGCGAAGGCAAUCCCCUGGACCUGUACUGACGCUCAUGCACGAAAGCGUGGGGAGCAAACAGG
rnacentral:rRNA from 1 species